rnacentral:ncRNA from 1 species
UUCCUCGUUUUAGCGCCAUGCACCAGGACGACUGGUUAACGAGGAGGAGGGAUUAUCGAAAAUUCGGCGGGUGCCCUCCCGUGUUGCCUAACGCGAACGCAUUAGCAAAUAUGCAGGUGACUGCAAAACAAAGAUGAUGCGAUAGGUAGUU